UAAGGAAUAUUGGUCAAUGGACGCAAGUCUGAACCAGCCAUGCCGCGUGAAGGAUGAAGGUCCUCUGGAUUGUAAACUUCUUUUAUCUGGGACGAAAACGGGAUUUUUAUCUCAAUUGACGGUACCAGAGGAAUAAGCACCGGCUAACUUCGUGCCAGCAGCCGCGGUAAUACGAAGGGUGCAAGCGUUACUCGGAAUUACUGGGCGUAAAGCGUGCGUAGGCGGUUCGUUAAGUCCGUUGUGAAAGCCCUGGGCUCAACCUGGGAAUUGCAGUGGAUACUGGCGAGCUAGAGUACGGUAGAGGAUGGUGGAAUUCCCGGUGUAGCGGUGAAAUGCGUAGAGAUCGGGAGGAACACCCGUGGUGAAGGCGGCCAUCUGGACCAGUACUGACGCUGAGGCACGAAAGCGUGGGGAGCAAACA
rnacentral:rRNA from 1 species